AACGAACGCUGGCGGCAGGCUUAAUACAUGCAAGUCGAACGCCCCUUUCGGGGGGAGUGGCAGACGGGUGAGUAACGCGUGGGAACGUGCCCAAAGGUAGGCAACAACUCCGGGAAACUGGAGCUAAUACCGUAUGAGCCCGAGAUGGGAAGGAUUUAUCGCCUUUGGAUCGGCCCGCGUUGGAUUAGCUAGUUGGUGGGGUAAAAGCCUACCAAGGCGACGAUCCAUAGCUGUGCUGCGAGGAGGAUCAGCCACACUGGGACUGAGACACGGCCCAGACUCCUACGGGAGUCAGCAGUAGGGAAUCUUGGACAAUGGGCGCAAGCCUGGUCCAGCCAUGCCGCGUGAGUGAUGAAGGCCUUAGGGUUGUAAAACUCUUUCGCAGGUGACGAUAAUGACGGUAACCUGAGAAGAAGCCCCGGCUAACUUCGUGCCAGCAGCCGCCGUAA
rnacentral:rRNA from 1 species